UUCCCACUGAAAUUCUUCAAAACAUCACCAAACAGCUAAGAUUCAACCCUAAUGAUGUCAGAAAUUUUCGAGCUGUAUGCAAACAAUGGCGUAAUUCAACCCUAAUUUCCACCUAUUCACCUCGCCUUACUAAUUCCCUCGUCCCAAAGAAGAUAAUUUCUUCCUCCAUUUACCUUCUACACAGUGACCCAUCCAUGGAUUCCCGUGAUGAGUCUUCAUGGAUGGUUCUUGCUGUCGAAUAUACCAACAGAUUUGUGAGUUUUUACCAUCCUUUUACUAGAACUUAUCUUUGUGAUGUACCCAGCAAUCUGAAUUUGACCCGAUUUCGACCCACCAAAGUAUCCAAUGCAUACCAUCUUGUUUUUGAUGAUCCUAGCAAUAAUCUCUUUUCCUUUCCUCGUUGCCCAUAUGUAAAAAACUCUGUUAUCUUCUAAUUCAUCUACUUCUUCCAUUGAGGAUUCUGUAAUGUUAUCUCUGUCUAACAAAUUUAGAUUGGUCAAAUCAUUUCCAUUUGGGAAUGAUAGAAGGGAAACUACUAUCCGUGGUGCCAUUGAUGAUGUAAUAGAGUACAAGGGUAUUACCUUUACCUUAAGGAAUAAUGGGUUUGUUCACUCACUUGGAAAACUCAACUCUCCUAAUGGAACUCGACUAAUUUAUGGGUUUACAAAGGUGAUUAGGGACUCGUCACAUAGAAGGCGGUUGGUGGUGUCCCGUUCAGGUGAGAAACUCUACUUGAUUGUGCCAAUUAUGGGGAGUAGUGACGAAGGAGUAAGUUUGAUUUUUAAGGUCUAUGAGAAAAAGGAGUAUGCUACAACUAAUGGUUGGUUUUGGGAUGAGGUUAGAAGUUUUGAGGGUGAUCAAGUUCUGUAUGUAUCAAAAGAUCACUGUUUUUUUGUUGCAACUUCUGAAUUCCAAGGAUGUAGGAAGAAUUGUAUUGUAUUUUCAGAAGAUGGAUUUCCUAAGUGGGCUAAAUCUGGUUGGGAGUAUGAAAACAUAAGGGCAAAUAAGAUUGCUGUUUUCUCUUUAGAAUUCAAUAAUGGUUAUAGCCUACUGAUGAAGGAUUUUUCAAGCUUCCUUCUGAGCUUAUUUUCAUUGUCUCCCCCUGAUUGGGUUUCACAGAUUAUGUGUUUUUAUCAGCAAUCUGAAUCUCAAUCUCAAUCCCAAUCGCAAUCUCAAUCUCAAUCUCAAUCUAGAAGCGAGCCUUAGGCAGAAGAAAUAAUGCAGUCUGAUUCAAAUACUACUACUUCUGCUACUCGACAAAGCAGACCACCCUCCACCAUAAACGAAGGGGAGUGUGUUGUUGAGGAAGCACCUGAUCCAAAGACUCCAAGGAAGGGUACCCUCUGUAGGCCAUAUAUAACUUCUACAAGUUAGAGUAACACGAGCAAAACACCAACAACAAAGUUUGAGAGAUUCGAUAUAAAGUCUAAUUUGAUCCCGACAUUGCAGAAGAUCUGGUCAAAACACGGAAACAUCAUAGAAAAUUGCAUAUUAUCUAAUGGUGAUUUGAAAGCAAGAGCAUUAGAGUUGGUAGCGAAUGUAGUCCUCACCCUUGAGGAAAACUCGGCCUUAGACAUGAGCGACGAUCAAUCUGAUAAUUUGAAGUCUACAUUAACUGAUCUGAAAGUCAUUUGCUUUGAUGUAAACUGGCUUACUCCGUAUGUCGAGAAAGCCUUGGAAUUGCACCAAAGCAAGCCACUGGUGGAGUCUCUGCACAACCUCGGACAGUUGAAGAUUCAAGCCUCCGUUCAGAAAUCGAGAUUCCUUAAGGAAGUAGCCAAACUUGAUGAUUUAGAGAAAGAAUAUGAUGAAGGUAUGGCUAAUUUGUCUAAGUUGCUUCCUUAUACUGAUGAAGUGUGUAUUGAAAAACCAUUAGGAGCAGGAUUUACUUGAAGUUGCUGAGUAUUAUUAUGUAUAGUGCUAUUUUGGUGAAAUUUGUUUUAGGAAUAUGUCAAUUGGUGUUGCAAUCUAUUACUCCGUUCUGAAAUACUUGAACUAAUUGUGACAUAUUGUGUACGAAAUGUCACUAUCGGUAGUAAGUAUUAAUGGCUAUUGCUCCUAUUUUGGGUUUGUAUCGUGUAAUAUGUUGAAUGUUACUAGAUGAUCCUCAAUGUGAGAGUUAUGAAAAAGAAUUUAGUUUGUUGGUUUUGCCAUUUA